rnacentral:misc_RNA from 1 species
UCGAGUGUUACAACUCCCAAACCCUUAUGUGAACCUUACCCAUCGUUGCUUCGGCGGGAUCGUCCCGGUGGCCCGUUAUGGGCCGCCGGAUCCACGGCGCCCGCCGGGGGACCGAAACUCUUGCUUGUUUUCAGCGGUUUUCUCUCUGAGUGGCACAAGCAAAAAAUGCAAAAUUA